GGACUAUGAUGAAUACCUGAAAGGUCUCGUUCGGCGUAAUGGCUAACAACCUUGACGACAAUUCAUAUAUAUCUGAGUCC
rfam:Picea glauca, whole genome shotgun sequence.